GACGAACGCUGGCGGCGUGCUUAACACAUGCAAGUCGAACGGAAAGGCCCGCUUGCGGGUACUCGAGUGGCGAACGGGUGAGUAACACGUGGGCAACCUGCCCUCAGCUCUGGGAUAACUCCGGGAAGCCGGUGCUAAUACUGGAUACGACUGCGCAUCGCAUGGUGUGUGGUGGAAAGUUUUUCGGCUGGGGAUGGGCCCGCGGGCUAUCAGCUUGUUGGUGGGGUAAUGGCCUACCCAGGCGACGACGGGUAGCCGGCCGGAGAGGGCGACCGGCAACACUGGGACUGAGACACGGCCCAGACUCCUACGGGAGGCAGCAGUGGGGAAUAUUGCGCAAUGGGCGAAAGCCUGACGCAGCGACGCCGCGUGAGGGAUGACGUCCUUCGGGUUGUAAACCUCUUUCAGCUCUGACGAAGCGAAAGUGACGGUAGGAGCAGAAGAAGCACCGGCCAACUACGUGCCAGCAGCCGCCGUAA
rnacentral:rRNA from 1 species